AAGUCGUAACAAGGUUUCCGUAGGUCAGUAAAACCCCUAGGAAUUCUCUAUCAUCUAUCUCGAAACGCAUGCUAACAUACUCUUUAAAGGUGAACCUGCGGAAGGAUCAUUUACUGAGAUAGGGUCUUUCGGGGCCCGAACCUCCAACCCUAAAUCUACCUUCUCUGUUGCUUCGGGGAGGUCAACCUUCUGGCCUCACGGCCUCGGGGCGCUCCCCAGAAGAAUCAACCAAAAAACCCUUUAGAAAUGAGCAUCUAAGCCGAAUUUUUAAUAUUCAAAA
rnacentral:misc_RNA from 1 species